CUUGUGAUAGGUUUUUCUUGGGGUCUGAAGACACACAACAACAACAACAAAGUGGUUUAAGUGUGAAUCGAGUUCCAUUUAAUGUAUAGCCAAGUUUCUAUUUCUGAUAAAGUUAUCCAUACUAAUCCCAAUCUGAUUUGCUAAUAUUCAUUUAAGAAGAAACAGUUGGGGCAAAAUAAAACAAAAUCCACAAAAGAGUUAUACCUUUAUUGGCCAGCCAGAAUGCACAAAACACAUCAUACAAGUUUUAGAAGCGCCGUUGGAUAUUUUAGGCAAAAUAUGCCUUAAAAGUCAUAAAAGAAGAAGAAGAAAAAGUGACAGUGUUGGAAUCACAGGCCUACAUUUUGCAUAGAUGUUGUUUCUGCUGUAGUUUGGUUGGUUUGGAGGGAUCUCGCUGUAGGCAGAGGCCACACCUUUCUUGGUCAGGUGGGGACAGAGACCAGUAAAACUUAAGCCUCACUAGCAGUAGUAAAGUAACUCUUCUUAGGCUCUGAUAUGACUCUGUGUUGUGAAACCACAAGCUCCUUACUUGGGUGGAGAACACUGAGUUUCUGAAGAACUACAUCUGGGAAAACCUUUAGGUGUUGUAUAGGUGAAAUUCAGCCAUUUAGUUGGAGGUAAAAACCCCAAAGAGUUAAGUCAGAAGAGGAGGUAGUUGUUCCUUAUUUCUUCUUUUAAAACAGGCAUAGGCAAAGUGUAGCCUUUCAGAUGUUGGGCUACAACUCUUACUUGGUCAGAGUAAUCAAAGCCCAUGACAAGGAAUGUUGUGAGCUUCAGUCCAAUAUUUGGGGGGUUAUACCUUGCAUAUCCUUUCGCUUCAGAACUAUUAAAAAGGGGUAAAGCAACAUUUUAAGUGGCAUGUGUUUGUAGUCUGUUUAUGUCUGCUAAAUCUUCAUCCUGAGCAAGAAAAUGGUUGUCUUAAGGAGUGCAUACAAAUAAUUUAAAAUACAUUUGCAGUAGCCUUGAAGAUUCAUUGGUCUUUGCAUGAUAUUCAGCAUGAAUGGAAAUCCAAGUGCACACCUGAGAUUUUGGGACAGUGUUACAAGAAGGGAAACAUGUAGUGCUACUUUGUUGUUAGACUCCCAAUGUCAGCUUGGAAUACCAUGCAAUUAAUGCCUUCCAUUGGCUUGUUUUGAGAAUCAAGGAUAUAUUCAUUUUGUUGCUUGCAACAUUAGAAAUCUGCCAGCUCUAGUGGAUCUAGUGUGGAUUAAAACCAGAGUAAUCAGGAUGGGGUGUGGGUGGUUGAGGACAGAAGUGGGGCUGCUGCUGUGUCCCUACAGGAGGGGUUCAUGGCAAUGUCUAGGAUAGCAGGGUGCAUUCUGAUCAUCCAGCACCACGAAAGACAGACCUCCUGCUAUUAACUGCUCCGCUCAGGUCUUACGAACUCUGAGCCUUCAGUCACCCCACCUGUGAUGCUGUCUUCCAGAUAGAUAGAUAAGAAAAUAUACACUCUUCUGUAUCAAUGCCAUGCGAGAAGGCUAUAGUACCAUGACCACUAAGACAUGCAAUUUAUGAGUCUAUAACAGAAACUCUAGAAAAUAUUUCAGGGAAGCUGAUUGUGUAGAUGUAUAUAUCCUUCAUUCUUUUUUAUAUCUCACUGGACUAUUCCAAAAUCUCCAAAGAGAAUAUCUGGCAUUAGUUUACAAAUCUUCAUAUUCAUAUUGCUUGAAGUUUUAUUAGUAAUAAGAUAAGAUAAAGGAAAAUAAAUGUUGGCAAUGUCAUUUCUUCUAACAUACUAUUGCUGUUUCUGCUGUGAAUCACUAGCAAACUAGCAGAUAUAAAGCAGUAUAACAAUGAACUUUGAAGUGUAACAGCUCCCCAUCACCACCCCUAUUGCAAACUACCUAAGAUGGUUGGGGAAUCUUGGCUAUCUACCAAGAAGAUACUGAACAUUAUAAAACAGAUAUUCCACACUGCAGGUUUACAGGGCAUGACUGCAAUCUGAUCUUGUCUAGGCAGAAAGCAAACAGCUUACUUCUCAAAAGAAAUUACCUCAAUAAAGCGGACUGGAGGGCAAACGUUGUCCCUGUCAUCAAACAGAGGAAAAAAGAGGACCCAAACAAUUACCACCUGAAAUUAGUCAUUCAUCAGACAGCCAGUCUUCAACCCCAACAUCAUCUUAAGAAAUCAAACAAGAAAAACCGGUAUCACAUGAAGACAUCUCUCAGUAACAAGCCGUUACAUGCUUUUAAUCAAAAAGGAUUUUUCCAAACUCUCAUGAGAGAGGGUGGAGAAGCCUCUCUGUUGGCAUAUACAAUAAAUUAUACAAUGUUUGUGCAAAAUUGUCUUCUCUUUCCAGUCCAUUAGCUCAUUUUAGGUUGCGAGUAAGUUUUUCAGUUUGCAAUUUUCCAAGCUCUAUCCAGCCAACCACAUAUUGAUAAGUGUCCAGCA